rnacentral:rRNA from 1 species
GGACAUGAGUAGCGACAAAGAGGGUGAGAGACCCUCUCGCCGAAAGUCCAAGGGUUCCUGCUUAAAGCUAAUCUGAGCAGGGUGAGCCGGCCCCUAAGGCGAGGCCGAAAGGCGUAGUCGAUGGGAACUAGGUUAAUAUUCCUAGGCCAGUGGGAAGUGACGGAUCUCGAAGGUUGUCUGCCCUUAUCGGAUUGGGUGGGCCGCUUAGAGGUUCCUGGAAAUAGCCCCACAUCAGACCGUACCCUAAACCGACACAGGUGGACUGGUAGAGUAUACCAAGGCGCUUGAGAGAACCACGUUAAAGGAACUCGGCAAAAUGCCUCCGUAAGUUCGCGAGAAGGAGGCCCCAUCAGUAGGCAACUAUUGGUGGGGGGCACAAACUAGGGGGUGGCGACUGUUUACUUAAAACACAGGGCUGUGCGAAGCCGUAAGGCGACGUAUACAGUCUGACGCCUGCCCGGUGCUGGAAGAUUAAGAGGAGGGGUGCAAGCUCUGAAUUGAAGUCCCAGUAAACGGCGGCCGUAACAAUAACGGUCCUAAGGUAGCGAAAUUCCUUGUCGGGUAAGUUCCGACCUGCACGAAUGGCGUAACGAUCUCCCCGCUGUCUCUAACGUGGACUCAGCGAAAUUGAACUGUGUGUCAAGAUGCACACUUCCCGCGGUUAGACGGAAAGACCCCAUGCACCUUUACUCUAGCUUUGCACUGGCAUCAGGAUUGUGAUGUGCAGGAUAGGUGGUAGGCAUUGAAGCGGGGACGCCAGUCUUCGUGGAGCCUCCCUUGAGAUACCACCCUUCGCACUCUUGAUGUCUAACCGCGGCCCGUUAUCCGGGUCCGGGACCCUGCAUGGUGGGGAGUUUGACUGGGGCGGUCGCCUCCUAAACAGUAACGGAGGCGCGCGAUGGUUGGCUCAGACCGGUCGGAAAUCGGUCGUUGAGUGCAAUGGCAGAAGCCAGCCUGACUGCAAGUCUGACAAGACGAGCAGAGACGAAAGUCGGUCAUAGUGAUCCGGUGGUCCCAAGUGGGAGGGCCAUCGCUCAACGGAUAAAAGGUACGCUGGGGAUAACAGGCUGAUGAUGCCCAAGAGUCCAUAUCGACGGCAUCGUUUGGCACCUCGAUGUCGGCUCAUCUCAUCCUGGGGCUGGAGCAGGUCCCAAGGGUAUGGCUGUUCGCCAUUUAAAGAGGUACGUGAGCUGGGUUUAGAACGUCGUGAGACAGUUCGGUCCCUAUCUGCCGUGGGUGUAGGAGACUUGAGAAGAGUUGCCCCUAGUACGAGAGGACCGGGGUGAACGAACCACUGGUGGACCAGUUAUCGUGCCAACGGUAGUGCUGGGUAGCUAUGUUCGGACAGGAUAAACGCUGAAGGCAUCUAAGCGUGAAGCCCCCUUCAAAACAAGGUCUCCCUUGAGAGCCGUGGAAGACCACCACGUCGAUAGGCCGGAGGUGUAAGUGCAGCAAUGCAUUCAGCUGACCGGUACUAAUUGCUCGAA